rnacentral:rRNA from 1 species
UGAAUUAGCGGCGGACGGGUGAGUAACACGUGGGUAACCUGCCUUAUAGAGGGGGAUAGCCUUCCGAAAGGAAGAUUAAUACCGCAUAACAUAUUUUUAUCACAUGGUAGAGAUAUCAAAGGAGUAAUCCGCUAUAAGAUGGACCCGCGGCGCAUUAGCUAGUUGGUGAGGUAACGGCUCACCAAGGCGACGAUGCGUAGCCGACCUGAGAGGGUGAUCGGCCACAUUGGAACUGAGACACGGUCCAGACUCCUACGGGAGGCAGCGGUGGGGAAUAUUGCGCAAUGGGGGAAACCCUGACGCAGCAACGCCGCGUGAAUGAAGAAGGCCUUAGGGUUGUAAAGUUCUGUUUACAGGGACGAUAAUGACGGUACCUGUGGAGGAAGCCACGGCUAACUACGUGCCAGCAGCCGCGGUAAUACGUAGGUGGCAAGCGUUGUCCGGAUUUACUGGGCGUAAAGGAUGCGUAGGCGGAUGUUUAAGUGAGAUGUGAAAUACCCGAGCUCAACUUGGGUGCUGCAUUUCAAACUGGAUAUCUAGAGUGCAGGAGAGGAAAGCGGAAUUCCUAGUGUAGCGGUGAAAUGCGUAGAGAUUAGGAAGAACACCAGUGGCGAAGGCGGCUUUCUGGACUGUAACUGACGCUGA